rnacentral:rRNA from 1 species
CCUACGGGAGGCAGCAGUGGGGAAUAUUGGACAAUGGGCGAAAGCCUGAUCCAGCCAUGCCGCGUGUGUGAAGAAGGCCUUCGGGUUGUAAAGCACUUUCAGUGGGGAAGAAAGCCUUGGGGCUAAUACCCUCGAGGAAGGACAUCACCCACAGAAGAAGCACCGGCAACUCCGUGCCAGCAGCCGCGGUAAUACGGAGGGUGCGAGCGUUAAUCGGAAUUACUGGGCGUAAAGCGCGCGUAGGCGGUCUGAUAAGCCGGUUGUGAAAGCCCCGGGCUCAACCUGGGAACGGCAUCCGGAACUGUCAGGCUAGAGUGCAGGAGAGGAAGGUAGAAUUCCCGGUGUAGCGGUGAAAUGCGUAGAGAUCGGGAGGAAUACCAGUGGCGAAGGCGGCCUUCUGGACUGACACUGACGCUGAGGUGCGAAAGCGUGGGUAGCAAACAGGAUUAGAUACCCGUGUAGUC